UACGUAGGGGGCAAGCGUUGUCCGGAUUUACUGGGCGUAAAGAGCGUGUAGGCGGCCAGGUAGGUCCGUUGUGAAAACUCGAGGCUCAACCUCGAGACGUCGGCGGAAACCCUCUGGCUAGAGUCCGGAAGAGGAGAGUGGAAUUCCUGGUGUAGCGGUGAAAUGCGCAGAUAUCAGGAAGAACACCCGUGGCGAAGGCGGCUCUCUGGGACGGUACUGACGCUGAGGCACGAAAGCGUGGGGAGCAAACAGG
rnacentral:rRNA from 1 species